AAACCAUGAUGAGGACGCUAUCAUAAUAAACUCUUAAAUCUGUCUCAUGCUUCAAAUAAUGAUUCUCCGUCUACUUGAGCAAAUCUUGUAAUUCUAUUCCUCAUAU